rnacentral:rRNA from 1 species
UACGUAGGCAGCGAGCGUUGUUCGGAGUUACUGGGCGUAAAGCGUGCGUAUGGCGGUGUCUUAAGUUUGUUUGUGAAAUCUCCCGGCUUAACCGGGAGGGUGCGGCGAAUACUGGAGAUGCUGGAGUGCCGGAGAGGUAAGCGGAAUUCCUGGUGUAGCGGUGAAAUGACGUAGAUAUCAGGAGGAACACCUGCGGUGUAGACGGCUUACUGGACGGUAACUGACGCUGAGGCACGAAAGCGUGGGUAGCGAAACAGG